UUCUUACUGAACUUCUCUGAAGAGUUUUGGCUGGAAAGAAGUAUCUUUUCCAACGCCAGUACAUUCUCGGCGCUCCUUCAACUGGCUGAAAAAUGAGCUCAGAUUAUGGAGAUAAUUGGAAGACCAGUUAUUUUCAGAGUGACUACAAGAAAAGAAAAAAAGGUGACUCUUAGGAGAGAAAACAAGAAGUUGACAGAAAUAACAAAUAUCAGAUUCUUCUGCUCACUCAUUGCAGACCCAAUCUCCUGGUGACCACGACAACCCCUGGGUGUAAAUUCAGCUGUCAGCAGUGUUUUCACAACCAUUUUGUAAAAUUAGAGCAUUGUCCAAAGGAUAAAUGAAAUUCAGGAG
rnacentral:lncRNA from 1 species